rnacentral:sRNA from 1 species
GAAGGAUGAGAAGCUUCGACUAAGGUUCGAUUCGAGCGAAAGCGAGAAAGCGUUGCCGCAGGCAACGACCCGAAGGGCGAAGCGCGCAGCGCUGAGUCAUCCUUCCCCCACCACCA